rnacentral:rRNA from 1 species
GAUGAACGCUGGCGGCGUGCCUAAUACAUGCAAGUAGAACGCUGAAGGAGGAGCUUGCUCUUCUGGAUGAGUUGCGAACGGGUGAGUAACGCGUAGGUAACCUGCCUGGUAGCGGGGGAUAACUAUUGGAAACGAUAGCUAAUACCGCAUGACAACAGUUAUUGCAUGAUAACUGUUUAAAAGGGGCAACUGCUCCACUACCAGAUGGACCUGCGUUGUAUUAGCUAGUUGGUGAGGUAACGGCUCACCAAGGCGACGAUACAUAGCCGACCUGAGAGGGGGAUCGGCCACACUGGGACUGCGACACGGCCCAGACUCCUACGGGAGGCAGCAGUAGGGAAUCUUCGGCAAUGGACGGAAGUCUGACCGAGCAACGCCGCGUGAGUGAAGAAGGUUUUCGGAUCGUAAAGCUCUGUUGUAAGAGAAGAACGAGUGUGAGAGUGGAAAGUUCACACUGUGACGGUAUCUUACCAGAAAGGGACGGCUAACUACGUG